AUUGAACGCUGGCGGCAGGCUUAACACAUGCAAGUCGAGCGGGCGAGGUUGCUUCGGUAACUGAGCUAGCGGCGGACGGGUGAGUAAAGCUUAGGAAUCUGCCUAUUAGUGGGGGACAACAUUCCGAAAGGGAUGCUAAUACCGCAUACGUCCUACGGGAGAAAGCAGGGGAUCACUUGUGACCUUGCGCUAAUAGAUGAGCCUAAGUCGGAUGAGCUAGUUGGUGGGGUAAAGGCCUACCAAGGCGACGAUCUGUAGCGGGUCAGAGAGGAUGAUCGGCCACACUGGGACUGAGAAACGGCCCAGACUCCUACGGGAGGCAGCAGUGGGGAAUAUUGGACAAUGGGGGGAACCCUGAUCCAGCCAUGCCGCGUGUGUGAAGAAGGCCUUUUGGUUGUAAAGCACUUUAAGUGGGGAGGAGGCUUACCUGGUUAAUACCUAGGCUAAGUGGACGUUACCCACAGAAUAAGCACCGGCUAACUCUGUGCCAGCAGCCGCCGUAACAC
rnacentral:rRNA from 1 species